AUAAGUGCUGUUUAUCAGCUUCCUCUCUUGAAUAUCCAACGAAAUGGUAGUUAAAUCACAGCACUAAAUAU